CAAAGCUGACGAAUUGCAGCGGUGUCGCAUCGAGCUCGAUUUUCUUAUUGGGUUGGCACCACUUAGUUUCUAACCUAAUAAUUUCGAUCGCGGUGUCGCUCGUUGCCGAUGUUCACGCGCGAAACGGGGAAAGAAAGUGAGAUUGCAAGGGUCGUAAAGUCACGCCUCAUACUGCUUUAUGGGGUUCGCGUGUUACCGACCCAUUUUGUUGAAUUCCACCGGACCUCGUCGGAUUUCCUCGCUUCGCCUGCUUCCACGACGUUUGUCACGUUGCUGAUCGUUGUUGGGAUAUGUACAUAAUGGAUAAUAUACGAACGACCCGUGGCGAGGUUUAUUCGAUACCUUCGAAUUCGUAUAAUCGCGAGUACCUUCGUUUCAAUAAUAAACAACUCUCGUUAAAUAUGCUGAAACGUUUAAACAAGUUGUUGCCAGUUACACUGGAAAAUCACCGAUAAGAUUUAAGAUGCUGUUACAAUAAUUAUAUUCUUCUUAUAAAUUUGAAGACACGAAGAGAUCGCAGCAGAGAAAUAUAAAAAGUACAUUUUGUUCCUACUCUGAUGGAACAUCUAGAAAUUAAAGUGUACUGGCUAAUUAACCACACAUAUAAUCUAGUUAGACAAAUUUACCAAAUGUCCUGCUGGACAAACUGUAAAGCAGAAAUUAAAAUUAAAAAAAAACAUUUAAUCUUCCUCUUGUAUGGACAGUAAAUUAAAAAUAUAUAAAAGAAUAAUAAAACCUAUGUGGACAUAAAGUGCAGCGCUCUGGCCAACAGCAGUAGAAAGCUACAUAUGGAAGAUGGAAUAACUGCAAGCUUAGGACGGUUGUAAACGCUUCAUGGUGUAUUAGGAACGAAGAAAUUCGAAAUUAAACGGAAAUUCGGCACUAAAGUUCCAGCAAUUUUGUUUUACAGAGUUUUUUUUUUAUUAUUUAAUUUGUACUUUACAAUUUGUAAAGCUGGACAUUCGGUAAAAUUCCAGCAGUGUGGGAUAAAAAGAAACUUUUGAUUGUCACUACAAAUGUGUACGAAUAUAUAUAUGCGCAUUGUCAGUCCACAAUGGCGUCUAAAUGGAGAUGAUUAUUCACAAAUCCCCAGAAUAAUAAUCUGCCAAAUGUCUCCAUAGACAGUGGAGAAGAAAGGAAGAAAGAUUUUUGUUGAUCGUUGGUCCACAACAGUCAUUGUUUACAAAUGUAAUCAAUCGCAGUAGAUUCAAUUGUUCUAUACUUGUAAAAUAUAUUUACAAAAUUUAGAUAUCCUACGUAGACUUUGAACCUAUUCGAGGAAAUCAGCUUCUCGAUAUAACCGCCGAAUGCUACUACGAAUUAAAUCAAUGAACGAUUGCCUCGCUGAUAAAUUGGGAUAAGCGUACCGUUUGAAAAUUCCACUCUUCUAUCUUGUCUGAUAAGCAACGUCGAAUAAACUCGUAUCUGUUCGAUGGAAACGUUAGAAAAUCCAUAUCGCUCCACGGUUAAAUUAACAGAGUGGAGCUGACACAGCUACACAGACUACACAGGCACAAGGGACAUAAAUGGCUGUCGAAGAAACGUACUUUACGAUUCCUCGGUUCUUCAGAUAAAACGAACGAUUUUGUGUAUUCAGUUGUACCGUGUCGCGCAUUAAUUAUGGACGUGACUAAAACCACGUGUGGGAACAUUCGAAGUUGGCUACCUGUCUUCAACCCAACACGUGUGCGCUUUCUCAGAGGCCAGCUUCCUAUAAUGCUGCGUCAGAUUGACUCUCGAGAAGAGAUAAUGACAGCCAGAAGCUACUUUAACGGAGUAACGAUGCUUGUUCGUCGGCCUUCUACCUAUCGAAUGCGGUGACAGCGUCGAGUACGAUUUACAUCGGAACGCAUGGCCGCCGCUCGGUGCUCUUUAACAUCGUAAAAUGGAAUUGAAAAUAUGGAACAUGCCAACGCAAAACGAGAUGAGCAAUAAGUUGGUAACAUAGCGGUGAAGCUAGAAAAAUUUACCGAAUGUCCAUAUAUACAAAUCCGAAUGUAAAGCACAAAUUAAAUAAUAACAAAAAAAAGCAGCGGCGAUCCUUAAUCUCUUUCAUCUCACGAUAUUUAACGUUGGAGCUUAUUGUACAUCCAUAUAUGAACUGUUAUGUCUUUAUUGUAUUUUUAAUACAAUAUACCAGCUAAUGUAUCUUGGAAGAUGAAAAUUAUACAGUAAUUUUCCAGCAAUCAUUAUGGUCCCUAUCUUUUGUCACUAAGUGUAUAUAUAGCUGUGCU